AUGAAUCAUAAUGAUGCCUUAGGUUGCCUCUGUCCUUUGUUAAUUAUCUUUCUAUCUCUUCCUGAACAGGUUCUUUAUGUAGUCAGCCACUACUACCUCCUUAGGUUGCCAUCAAUUCUGGUUGCCAAAAGAUAUUAUGAUGGCUAUUCUAAUCUUUCACAAUUCACAACAUCACAUCCUUGUCAAUUCUGUCUGGAUUCGCAGUUGUCUGUAUCAGAGAAGAUUGAAUACAAAAGAAACAGAGGUAGGACACCUGUGACCAACUGGAAGAUAGAGCAACUAUCCUCCCAUCCAGUGGUUCAAAAGAGUUCUUGUCUCACUUGCGGCCAGGAAGGAAAAGAAUGCCUUAAAACUAAUUGGAGAAAGAGGUAGUUAUAAACAGCCAAAGAUCCCGUGUUGGUGAGCCUCUGGCAUGCCUGCUGGAGGGGGCUGCUCCCCUCACCCUCUCCACACGUGACCCACCCCUCUGCCCAGCAGUGCUUCCUCCCUCCCCUAUUUGGAGUAAGGUGAGAGCUCAUAUGUGGUGUGAGGUGCAGUUUGGACACUCAGUCUCUAAAAGGUUUGCCAUCAUUGCCCUAACAUAUAAGGGAAUAUGUAAGGAUAAUUUUAGGGUUGUGACCUAAUCUAAAUUAAUUUGGUCACCAGAGAAAAUCCCAAACAAAAUACCCAAGUCAGUUUGGAAAUUUAUGGUGAUUUUAAUUAAUAUAGAGGGAAGGAAUUAAGUAGGAGAGAAGAGGGUAAAGGAUUCCUCCCACCUGGUCUGUGCCAGAGGGAGUCAAAAGACCUCCACCACAAGGUCUUUUAAGAUUAGAGGCUUUCCCAAGAGGAUAGUGUUUGGAAGGUAAAGGAGAAAAGAAUCAGCCUAAACUCCGAGAGAGCUCGGUGAAGAUGCCUCACCUGAACUAGGCUACUAAGCUUCUCCCAAUAUAAUAUCAAGAAAAACUCACCACCAAAACUGGACAAUAGCUGCCACCACACCAAGAUGCCAAAAUGCUCAGCAAGCUGCCACCAGAGCCACCUCUCCGCCAAAAGAGGCCAAAGAGAGGAACUGAUGUGAAAUAUAUAGACAGUUUUUACCAUCUUACCAUUUUACUGCAUCUCACAUGUACCAAUGGUAGCUUAAGCUUGACUUAGGACAGCCCAGGGGUCUGUCAGUUGUUUCUAAUUUGUCAUUUGCUAGCACAUGUCUGUCAUAAGCCAUCCCCCUAAAUACUUAAUCCUUAAGUAUGGGUGUAGACAUUCUUGUUUUUGUUAGACUAAGUAGGGUGGAGUAAUCUAAAAUUCACAAACAGGACAUCAAAAAUCAAAUUAUAUACAGCUGUCCCUUGUCCAUCAUGACUUUCCCCAUCUCAGUUUUGACAUAUCACACUUGGCAUAACAAAUAAAAUUGGAGUUUUUUAGUAGUUUUGUGAAACU
rnacentral:lncRNA from 1 species